GCCAGUAAUAGUAGUUAAAUUAAUGUGUUGGCUGGUGAUUUACUCAGACUCUGUUUUGGAGGUUAAAGUGGAAUGUUUUGUGAGAAAGAAAUUGACAUGUCUUAUUUAUUUCAGAUUGAACAGGAUGUGGUGCUGCUGUUUGGAGAGGGAACAUCAGCCAAGUUAUUGGAGAGGUGUCCAACUACAUUCAAGCAAAGGAUCCUCGUGCUAAGCAAGACCCUAAGCAAGGCCACUCAGGGAGCUGAACUUCAGGAGCUGAUCCAGAUGGCAAAAUCUGCAGUUGAUGAGGGAGCUGACACGAAUGCUGACAGAUGAGACGGUGACCUUUCCUUCAUCCUUCUCCUGCUCCAUUUAAUUCCUCCUUCAUCACAAGGCCUCAAAAGACCAGACAAGAUGUCUGCAUCCCAAGCUGAACAGCAUCUUGUGAUAUUCCAAAAGGCAGGAACCAGUAUUCAGGAGCACCUUGAUGCCACUGGGGCGGCAGGUAGCAGUGUUGGACUAGUAACCGAAAGGUUGCAAGAUCAAAUCCCCAAACUGACAAGGUUAAAAUCUGUUGUUCUGCCCCUGAAAAAUCUAUUGUUUAACCCACUGUUCCUAGGCUGUCAUUGAAAAUAAUAAUUUGUUCUUAACUGACUUGCCUAGAAAAAAGAAAAAAAAUUGACCAGAGCCGCCAACCAUAUCUUCUUGCAGUUGGGACCAGGAAGAG
rnacentral:lncRNA from 1 species